UGACCUCGUAGCUCAGUUGGUAAAGAGCAUUGGGCUAGUAUUUCAAAGGUAAAGGUUGGGGGUUCAAUUUUCCCUGGUCAG